rnacentral:snRNA from 1 species
GUACUUGCUUUGGCAGCACAUGUACUAAAACUGGAAUUAUGCUGAGAUUAGCAUGGUCCCUCUGCAAGCAUGAAACUCAAAUUUUGUGAAGCAUUCCAUUUUUUU